rnacentral:rRNA from 1 species
CGGAGGGGCUAGCGCUGUUCGGAAUUACUGGGCGUAAAGCGCACGUAGGCGGACUGGAAAGUUGGGGGUGAAAUCCCGGGGCUCAACCUCGGAACUGCCUUCAAAACUAUCAAGUCUGGAGUUCGAGAGAGGUGAGUGGGAAUUCCGAGUGUAGAGGUGAAAUUCGUAGAUAUUCGGAGGAACACCAGUGGCGAAGGCGGCUCACUGGCUCGGAUACUGACGCUGAGGUGCGAAAGCGUGGGGAGCAAACAGGAUU